UGAGUUUGAUCAUGGCUCAGGACGAACGCUGGCGGCGUGCCUAAUACAUGCAAGUCGAGCGAGUCUGCCUUGAAGAUCGGAGUGCUUGCACUCUGUGAAACAAGAUACAGGCUAGCGGCGGACGGGUGAGUAACACGUGGGUAACCUGCCCAAGAGAUCGGGAUAACACCUGGAAACAGAUGCUAAUACCGGAUAACAACAGAUGAUGCCUAUCAACUGUUUAAAAGAUGGUUCUGCUAUCACUCUUGGAUGGACCUGCGGUGCAUUAGCUAGUUGGUAGGGUAACGGCCUACCAAGGCGAUGAUGCAUANCCGAGUUGAGAGACUGAUCGGCCACAUUGGGACUGAGACAC
rnacentral:rRNA from 1 species